rnacentral:lncRNA from 1 species
UUUGUAAAAUUAUGGGUAUUGAGACCCCUUAAGCUAUGCUGUUGAACGGCAUGCACGAUUCUGAUAAUAUUUUUAUUGUUUUAGUAUACGUCUGGUUAGUGAGGCCAUCCGUAGUCCGCGUUCUUCUAGCUCAGACAAAACGCCCUCUAAAAAGCAGACGAAUGGAUCUAAUUUAGUUCAUCAUGGUUCGAAUAUCAGCACUCCAUCUUCUGCUGUCUCACCUCGACUUGCGCCACCUCCUCCAAGACGUCCUAGACAGCCUAGGAGAAAGCAGUUGGACCUGUUGCAGGAUUUCUCUUUCUUAGCAAACCUGCCGCAGACACAGGACGAUGUUCGUCCAGUGUCUAAGAGGCUGCGAGCUAAACCCUUUGUGUCUUACGGCGAAUCAAGAUUGCGCAAGCUCCGCCGCCGGAACAGAACCUAAUUAUGAAGUUAAAGGAAAACAUUUAAAAAAUAAAAUUGCACAAUUUGAAGAAAGAAAAUUGGGAAAUCAGAAUUUUUGUAAUAUUUUAAAUUUUCAUAUAUAUAUUUUUUUAUACAUUUUGCAUCAUACCUAUUUUAGUAUUCACUUUAUUUGUAAAUAUUUUUGAAGCACUGUACUAAAUGAAAAUUGCAUUUUUUAUGCUAAUCAAAUAUUUUAACAUUUGUUAUUCAUAUAAUACAAAGAUAUUUCUCAUUCUUAUAUUGUACAAACUGCAAAAAAAAAGUUCCAUUUGUUAAUAAGUAUAGUACAAUUUUUGUAAUUUAUAUCUAUAUCAUAUUAAUGUAGAGUAUACUGAAUUAUUAUUGUUGAAUAUAUGACUAUAAAUGAAAUUUUCAUUUGCCAUGUCUUGAGAUAUAUUUAAUUAAUGUGUAAGUUAAUCAAGCACUUAUAAUUAAAGUAAAAGAAAUUUCAAUAUCUAGCAAACUUUUUGUACCUUUCCUUGAAAAAUGAUUGUUUUCAAUAUUGUAAUUUUAAUUCUAAUACUUGUUAUAUUAUCAUUAUUAUUUUAUAAGAUUACCAUUCUUUGUUACAAUUAUAUUUCAUCGAAAUUAACAAUAAACUUGCUGGAUAAUAAUUGAGCUAAUAAAAUUAGCUUAGACUUCAAAAAUGAAUAAAUUUAAAGAAAUUUUAUAUUUCAAUUUUAGAGUGUAAUUAUAGAUAAUUGUUUCAGAACAUUUAAAAUUCUUCACUCUGCUUUAUAAUGAAGUACUUUCGAAGUUAAGAACUAAUAAGUAUAAAAUACUGAGAAUUUGAAAAUAUUAUUAUAAUUAAUUUUUUUCUAAUUAUUUAUUUAGACAAAUUUAAUAAUAUAUCAGUCAAUUAUUAUUAUUAACUUACAGUAGUUAACCUAGUUUGAUCUAAAAUAUUUCACAAAUAGUAUAGGGAUUUUUUAUAAUCAAUAAAAGGAAAUAAAAUUAAAUAUUUUAUUUAAACCCAUACAGAUUUAGAUUGUUCUUGAGUUUAAAUAUUAAAAUUGUGUGUUAAUUCUUAAAUUAACUUUUAAUUAGUAAAAAACAUUAAUUUUAGAUAGUUGUAACAUGUUUUUAAAUUGCAUACAAAUGUAAGUUUUUUUAAAAAAAAAUUACAUAUACAAUAAAUAUUUUUUAUCUAAUUUCAGAAUAGAUAAAAAUGAAAAAUUUUGCUCUUCCAACAAGAAAACUUUUAAACAGAUUAUUUUAAAUAGAAUAUUGUUUUUUUUUUCCCUUCAAAAAAUUACUUCAUUUAGUAAUACUAUUUGUUUAAUUAGUACAUACUAUAAAUAUGUAAGUAAAUUAUAAACCAAGAAAAAAGCAUUUCGGAUUGAAUUUUCCACAGGUACUUUUUAAAAUUUCAAAAUUACUGAAAAACAUAAUUCUUGAUUAAUCACUUCAGGACAUAUGAAAGGAGAAAGUAACAUUUCUCUAGACCCACACACUCCAAGUUUAUGCAUAGAAAAAGAGUACUAAUAUAAGAGUACCAAAUUGAGAUCCUAUCUGUGUGAUGUUGGGCCACUAGAGUCAGAAUAAUGUAAUUUUUCUUCUACUCUCUCUCAUUAAUUGUAUGGCAUCUUAUAAUGAUCUCAGUAAAAAUCAAAGUGCUUUAUUGAGGUUAGAAUGUGUUAGCUAAGUAAGAAACAUAGUUCUGAUAUUCAUAUUUCAGUAUAUUUGCUUACAUUUAUUGAAUAUGUUGCUACAUUUUUAUCACUGUGAAAAUUCAUAAUUUCAUUAUGCAUUACCAGAGAAUUGUUUUGGUUACUUGUCACUUCAAACUCUUGUGUGUUGCAAGUAAUAGCUGUUAGAUAGUGAUGGUCAUUUAUCUUAUCAUUUGUGUAAUUGAGGUUUAGGCAAUGUAAAGAAGGUAGUUUCUAUGUAGAAUAAUAAUUUGGUGGUCAAAAUUGAUUACUAACAUAUAAAUUCUGCUUUUAUAUCAGUUUCACAUUUGUAUAAAUACAUAUUUUUAUCAAAUGUUACAAUUGCUAUACUAUUUUUAUAUAUGUAAUCAAAAUGGUUAUUGAAAAGUGUUUUUUGCUAUUUUCAUUUGUAAAAAUUUUAUAAAUAAAAUUAUUUUGUGAAUUUAA